rnacentral:rRNA from 1 species
GAUGAACGCUGACAGAAUGCUUAACACAUGCAAGUCUUUGGCAAAUCUGUGCUUGCACAGCCUAGCCAAGGCGGACGGGUGAGUAACGCGUAAAGAACUUGCCCUGCAGAUAGGGAUAACAGACGGAAACGACUGAUAACACCUGAUACAAUUGCCGGCACGCAUGUGCCUGGCAAUGAAAAGAGAUGCUGCAGGAGAGCUUUGCGUCCUAUUAGCUUGUUGGUGAGGUAACGGCUCACCAAGGCGAUGAUAGGUAGCCGGCCUGAGAGGGUGAACGGCCACAAGGGGACUGAGAUACGGCCCUUACUCCUACGGGAGGCAGCAGUGGGGAAUAUUGGACAAUGGGGGCAACCCUGAUCCAGCAAUUCUGUGUGCACGAAGAGGGUUUUCGGAUUGUAAAGUGCUUUCAGCAGGGAAGAAGAAAGUGACGGUACCUGCAGAAGAAGCGACGGCUAAAUACGUGCCAGCAGCCGCGGUAAUACGUAUGUCGCAAGCGUUAUCCGGAAUUAUUGGGCAUAAAGGGCAUCUAGGCGGCCAGACAAGUCUGGGGUGAAAACUUGCGGCUCAACCGCAAGCCUGCCCUGGAAACUGUUUGGCUAGAGUGCUGGAGAGGUGGACGGAACUGCACGAGUAGAGGUGAAAUUCGUAGAUAUGUGCAGGAAUGCCGAUGAUGAAGAUAGUUCACUGGACGGCAACUGACGCUGAAGUGCGAAAGCUAGGGGAGCGAACAGG